CACGGGCUCAUCCACCAGGUAAGUCCUAGUACAGCGUCCGCAGUGUCCGCCCUGGGAGCUGCUAGAGCCAGGUUAGCGCUUUGUGCUCCAUCAAACGUUUGCCCGUCUUUGAAUAUGUAAAUAGUGUAAAUGAUAGAUGCUUCCUUUUAGCACCCCUUUCCCUGCCCUAGAAGAAUUUAAGCGAUUGAAAAAAAAAAAAAUCCCUGCCUGAUCACUUAGAAUGCCACCCACACGACAAAAAUGAAGACUACAUUCAGGCCCCAACAAUUAAAUGGGGGCGGGGGAAUUGGGAAAAGAGUAAGGGGGGAAAGAUAGAGGUGACCGGCUGCAAGCAGUCCCCAGGCCGUUCUACCGCUCCUGGUAAUGGGCCUCACGUCCUGAGCGUGGAAAGGAUUUUGGAGUCCAGGAAAGAUGAAAGUUUCUGGCUCCUCCCCUUCCCGUCCCCCUAGCUGUGUUGCGGGGAGCUGCCGUCGAGCUCGGUCGGCUGGAGGAUCGGGCGAAGUCGGUGACUACCAGGCGGCGUAGGAAGGCGCUGAUCUGCUGGAUCUGAGUCCUGCAGGGAGGCUCUGUACCGGUCCCCCUCGAGCCAGAAAGAGACCCGGUGACACAGCCCUCCGGUAGGACCAAGCUCGCGCCAUCCGGCUCCCUCCUUUGGGCGCCUGCAGAACCCAGAAGCGCAGUGGCCCUUUGCCCAGGGCCCCCAAGAGGCAUCAAGAUUGAGGGCGACCACACAGGCCUCUGACUGCGGUGCCCUUUCUGACUUAAAAUAGUCAUCUUGCACCAUUCACACGGUCGAAGUUGCAGUGUGCCUAGAUUUUCCUUCAAGGACAAAAAUGUGAAUAAAGCAAUAUUUCAGCCAAACAUUUCUGUGUCAAUUAAGAAGACGGCAAUUCGUUCCAGACUAUAAAUUCUCUUUAACAACUCUCUAAGGAACUCUACUUCAAUACUCUUGACCCGGAUCUGGACACAGAAGACUCCUGUUUCAAGAAAAUACAAUCAUCUCUCAAAGUCUGUAAUUUAUAUGCAUUUUUAACUCGCUAGGUAUUGAAAACCACCCAAGUGUCCCACAACAUGGGGUAAAAUAUAAUCAAUCACUCAGUGUAAUAUUAUACAUCCUUUUAAAAUGUUAUUGGAAAAUGUUUUAUGAUCUGUAACUCGAAAUAACCCUCUCCCACCAUUUCUCUCUCCCUGCUGCUCCCCUAUACCCACGCUUCUUUGUUCCAAUUGGCAUGUAAACGUAUUUUUCCCACCAAAUGAGUCAGUCACGAUGGGAACAGCAAUUGAUUUGAACAGAUGUGUGUCAAUGUUACUUGGGAAACUGGAUGCCAAUAACCAGGGCCACAAAAAAAGGCAGUGUUUGCAACUCCGUAAAAAUUUGUGUGUGCAUACAGACAAGGGCUAAAGUGGAACCCAAAAAAGGAAAAUAGUUGGAUAUACUCCAGUGCUGGGAGAUUGAAUGAUUGUAUUCUGCUUUUGAUUUCCGUUAAUACGGGCAACUGUCCAAUUAAAAAGACCUAA